CCCCAAAGCUCUCCAUAGUGAUCAUGAGAUGCUGGAAAAUAGUGAGUUCAGAAGGCAUUCAUGUCCCCUGGGCUCGUCCUCCUCACUCUGGAACACCCUCCAACGCUAAUGAGAGUCCCUGUCUGUACUCACUGCUACUCCUGUCUUGUAGAGGAGGUAAUGCACAGUCUGUGUGACGUCAGCGGCAUGCAUCAGGUUAUGUUGUAGAAUUCAGGAGGCAAGAGAAUGGAGGAUCACUGCAAGUCCAAGGCCAGCCAGGGUUACUUCGCAAGUUCCCUUCUCAUGAGACCAAAGUGAGCAGAUUCAAGCACUGUCGCUGCAUAUUCCAGGUUCUUCUUUAGAUCUACCACAGAGGCCUCCCCACGCUCCAACUGCUUGACCAAAGACCGUAACCUACAGAGGACAAGAUAACUUCAUUAGAAUAAAGGAAUCAAAGAAUAAU